CCAAGCAUAUCUGAUCAAUCAAAGUUUCUUAGUAAGGUAUCUGUGCUGAUGGAGUAUGAUGGUUUUAAUGAGUUAAUUGAGAAUGAAAAAGCAGAAAAGCAAUCUGUUUCAGAUGUCAAUGAUGCUGUAGAUGAUUUUGAUGUCUCCUUGACACGUAAAAGAUUUCCUUCUAUUGUUUUGGGUAAUUCUCCUCCUGUAGAAUUAUAUGAUGAGACUACACAGCACUUUGAAAUGAAGAGCCCUAUACCAGCU
rnacentral:misc_RNA from 1 species